rnacentral:rRNA from 1 species
UACAGAGGUCCCAAGCGUUGUUCGGAUUCACUGGGCGUAAAGGGUGCGUAGGUGGUUGGGUAAGUCUGAUGUGAAAUCUCCGGGCUUAACUCGGAAAUGGCAUCGGAUACUAUCCAGCUUGAGGGUUGGAGGGGGGACUGGAAUUCUCGGUGUAGCAGUGAAAUGCGUAGAUAUCGAGAGGAACACCAAUGGCGAAGGCUAGUCCCUGGACAACACCUGACACUGAGGCACGAAAGCUAGGGGAGCAAACAGG